UACGUAGGUGGCAAGCGUUGUCCGGAAUUAUUGGGCGUAAAGCGCGCGCAGGCGGUCCUUUAAGUCUGAUGUGAAAGCCCACGGCUCAACCGUGGAGGGUCAUUGGAAACUGGGGGACUUGAGUACAGAAGAGAAGAGUGGAAUUCCACGUGUAGCGGUGAAAUGCGUAGAGAUGUGGAGGAACACCAGUGGCGAAGGCGGCGCCCUGGCUCGCAACUGACGCUCAGACACGACAGCAUGGGGAGCGAACGGG
rnacentral:rRNA from 1 species